UGGGGAAUAUUGCACAAUGGGCGCAAGCCUGAUGCAGCCAUGCCGCGUGUAUGAAGAAGGCCUUCGGGUUGUAAAGUACUUUCAGCGGGGAGGAAGGGAGUAAAGUUAAUACCUUUGCUCAUUGACGUUACCCGCAGAAGAAGCACCGGCUAACUCCGUGCCAGCAGCCGCGGUAAUACGGAGGGUGCAAGCGUUAAUCGGAAUUACUGGGCGUAAAGCGCACGCAGGCGGUUGAUUGAGUCAGAUGUGAAAUCCCCGGGCUUAUCCCGGGAAUUGCAUCUGAUACUGGUCAGCUAGAGUCUUGUAGAGGGGGGUAGAAUUCCAUGUGUAGCGGUGAAAUGCGUAGAGAUGUGGAGGAAUACCGGUGGCGAAGGCGGCCCCCUGGACAAAGACUGACGCUCAGGUGCGAAAGCGUGGGGAGCAAACAGG
rnacentral:rRNA from 1 species